rnacentral:rRNA from 1 species
UACGUAGGUGGCAAGCGUUGUCCGGAAUUAUUGGGCGUAAAGCGCGCGCAGGCGGCCUCUUAAGUCUGAUGUGAAAGCCCCCGGCUCAACCGGGGGAGGGCCAUUGGAAACUGGGAGGCUUGAGUAUAGGAGAGAAGAGUGGAAUUCCACGUGUAGCGGUGAAAUGCGUAGAGAUGUGGAGGAACACCAGUGGCGAAGGCGACUCUUUGGCCUAUAACUGACGCUGAGGCGCGAAAGCGUGGGGAGCAAACA